UUAGCUUAGGUCUGUGGUUGAAAGUCGAUGCCAGUCGCAGGCGAAACGAUCCACGUAAGGAGUCUAAAAUGGGCUCUGAGCAUGGUGCGGCUUAGAGGUAAAGUCCUGCCGCCCCCGGUAAAGAAAUUUGGGCGAGAGAAGUAGUAGUGAGGAGAUAACACUUAGUAGCGAACCUCCCAGCAGGCGAGUGUGGGGUCAAAGACCAGGUCGGCUAAGCAAA
rnacentral:ncRNA from 1 species